UACAGAGGUCUCAAGCGUUGUUCGGAUUCAUUGGGCGUAAAGCGUGCGUAGGCGGCGCGGCAAGUCGGGUGUGAAAUCUCGGAGCUUAACUCCGAAACUGCAUUCGAUACUGCCGUGCUUGAGGACUGGAGAGGAGACUGGAAUUUACGGUGUAGCGGUGAAAUGCGUAGAUAUCGUAAGGAAGACCAGUGGCGAAGGCGGGUCUCUGGACAGUUCCUGACGCUGAGGCACGAAGGUCAGGGGAGCAAACGGG
rnacentral:rRNA from 1 species